UCCCCCAGUAGCGGCGAGCGAACGGGGAGCAGCCCAGAGUCUGAAUCAGCUUGUGUGUUAGUGGAACGGUCUGGAAAGUCCGACGGUACAGGGUGAUAGUCCCGUACACCAAAAUGCACAGGUUGUGAACUCGAAGAGUAGGGCGGGACACGUGGUAUCCUGUCUGAAUAUGGGGGGACCAUCCUCCAAGGCUAAAUACUCCUGACUGACCGAUAGUGAACCAGUACCGUGAGGGAAAGGCGAAAAGAACCCCGGCGAGGGGAGUGAAAAAGAACCUGAAACCGUGUACGUACAAGCAGUGGGAGCCUCUUUAUGGGGUGACUGCGUACCUUUUGUAUAAUGGGUCAGCGACUUAUAUUCUGUAGCAAGGUUAACCGUAUAGGGGAGCCGAAGGGAAACCGAGUCUUAACUGGGCGUUAAGUUGCAGGGUAUAGACCCGAAACCCGGUGAUCUAGCCAUGGGCAGGUUGAAGGUUGGGUAACACUAACUGGAGGACCGAACCGACUAAUGUUGAAAAAUUAGCGGAUGACUUGUGGCUGGGGGUGAAAGGCCAAUCAAACCGGGAGAUAGCUGGUUCUCCCCGAAAGCUAUUUAGGUAGCGCCUCGUGAACUCAUCUUCGGGGGUAGAGCACUGUUUCGGCUAGGGGGUCAUCCCGACUUACCAACCCGAUGCAAACUGCGAAUACCGAAGAAUGUUAUCACGGGAGACACACGGCGGGUGCUAACGUCCGUCGUGAAGAGGGAAACAACCCAGACCGCCAGCUAAGGUCCCAAAGUCAUGGUUAAGUGGGAAACGAUGUGGGAAGGCACAGACAGCCAGGAUGUUGGCUUAGAAGCAGCCAUCAUUUAAAGAAAGCGUAAUAGCUCACUGGUCGAGUCGGCCUGCGCGGAAGAUGUAACGGGGCUAAACCAUGCACCGAAGCUGCGGCAGCGACACUAUGUGUUGUUGGGUAGGGGAGCGUUCUGUAAGCCGUUGAAGGUGUGCUGUGAGGCAUGCUGGAGGUAUCAGAAGUGCGAAUGCUGACAUAAGUAACGAUAAUGCGGGUGAAAAACCCGCACGCCGGAAGACCAAGGGUUCCUGUCCAACGUUAAUCGGGGCAGGGUGAGUCGACCCCUAAGGCGAGGCCGAAAGGCGUAGUCGAUGGGAAACAGGUUAAUAUUCCUGUACUUGGUGUUACUGCGAAGGGGGGACGGAGAAGGCUAUGUUAGCCGGGCGACGGUUGUCCCGGUUUAAGCAUGUAGGCGGAGGUUCCAGGUAAAUCCGGUACCUUUUUAACGCUGAGGUGUGAUGACGAGGCACUACGGUGCUGAAGUAACAAAUGCCCUGCUUCCAGGAAAAGCCUCUAAGCAUCAGGUAACACGAAAUCGUACCCCAAACCGACACAGGUGGUCAGGUAGAGAAUACCAAGGCGCUUGAGAGAACUCGGGUGAAGGAACUAGGCAAAAUGGUGCCGUAACUUCGGGAGAAGGCACGCUGAUAUGUAGGUGAAGCGGUUUACCCGUGGAGCUGAAAUCAGUCGAAGAUACCAGCUGGCUGCAACUGUUUAUUAAAAACACAGCACUGUGCAAACACGAAAGUGGACGUAUACGGUGUGACGCCUGCCCGGUGCCGGAAGGUUAAUUGAUGGGGUUAUCCGUAAGGAGAAGCUCUUGAUCGAAGCCCCGGUAAACGGCGGCCGUAACUAUAACGGUCCUAAGGUAGCGAAAUUCCUUGUCGGGUAAGUUCCGACCUGCACGAAUGGCGUAAUGAUGGCCAGGCUGUCUCCACCCGAGACUCAGUGAAAUUGAACUCGCUGUGAAGAUGCAGUGUACCCGCGGCAAGACGGAAAGACCCCGUGAACCUUUACUAUAGCUUGACACUGAACACUGGUCCUUGAUGUGUAGGA
rnacentral:rRNA from 1 species